rnacentral:rRNA from 1 species
AUUGAACGCUGGCGGCAGGCCUAACACAUGCAAGUCGAACGGUAACAGGAAGCAGCUUGCUGCUUUGCUGACGAGUGGCGGACGGGUGAGUAAUGUCUGGGAAACUGCCCGAUGGAGGGGGAUAACUACUGGAAACGGUAGCUAAUACCGCAUAACGUCGCAAGACCAAAGAGGGGGACCUUAGGGCCUCUUGCCAUCGGAUGUGCCCAGAUGGGAUUAGCUAGUAGGUGGGGUAACGGCUCACCUAGGCGACGAUCCCUAGCUGGUCUGAGAGGAUGACCAGCCACACUGGAACUGGGACACGGUCCAGACUCCUACGGGAGGCAGCAGUGGGGAAUAUUGCACAACGGGCGCAAGCCUGAUGCAGCCAUGCCGCGUGUAUGAAGAAGGCCUUCGGGUUGUAAAGUACUUUCAGCGGGGAGGAAGGGAGUAAAGUUAAUACCUUUGCUCAUUGACGUUACCCGCAGAAGAAGCACCGGCUAACUCCGUG